rnacentral:misc_RNA from 1 species
AACUUUCAGCAACGGAUCUCUUGGCUCUUGCAACGAUGAAGAACGCAGUGAAAUGCGAUAAGUAGUGUGAAUUGCAUUAUCUCGUGAAUCAUCAAAUCUUUGAACGCACCUUGCACUUUUAGGUUAAUCCAGAGAGUAUGCCUGUUUGAGUAUCAGUAAUAUUUAUCCAAGCCAAUUGGGAUUUGAGGCUCUGACAUUGACCUGUGUACCGUCGUUGUUCAUUGCAUUGCGCAUUGAUCAUUGCGCGUUCCGGUCCGUCAGUGCUUUUAAAUGCAGGCUCAUAAGAGUGUAUAGUUUUCCAAUCUAUUCUUCAACAGUGUGAUAAUUGGCCUUGGCCUCUAUGUCCACCUAGUAGGGAUGUGAUCUUUGGCAGGCAAUGCUCGAGCAUAUAAAGAAUUUUACAUUUUGAUCUCAAAUCAGGCAAGACUACCCGCUGAACUUAAGCAUAUCAAUAAGCGGAGGCU